AUGGGCGAACAGGUCCUCCUCAAGCUUCAACCGUACGCCCAGUCCUCCAUCGCCAACCGCCCCUACCGCAAGCUGGCGUACAAGUUCUUCGGUCCCUUCACGGUGAUGGAUCGCGUCGGCACCUUGGCGUACCGCCUGAACUUGCCGUCGGACAGCCGCAUCCACCCCGUGUUCCACGUCUCGCAACUCAAGCCGUUCAUCCCCGACUACACUCCGGUCUUCGCUGAGCUGCCCAAGAUACCGGACCUCAUGGCCGCGGACCGCGUUUCGAUCGCCGUCCUGGACCGCCGCAUGAUGAAGAAAGGAGACGCCCCAGUCGUCCAAGUAUAGGUGCAGUGGAGCACCAUGCCGUCGUCGGCGGCUACCUGGGAAGACUACUACGUGCUACGGCAACGCUACUCGGACGCACCCAUCUGGAUGGAGGAAGAUCAAGCAGCUCAAGAGGGGGCAAAUGUCACGCCCGCAGUUCAGCCUGCAGCGGACUAA
rnacentral:rRNA from 1 species